rnacentral:rRNA from 1 species
GAGGCAGCAGUCGAGAAUCUUUCGCAAUGGGCGAAAGCCUGACGAAGCGACGCCGUGUGUGUGAUGAAGGCCUUCGGGUUGUAAAGCACUUUCGCUUGAGAACAAGAGAGGCUGGCUAACAUCCAGCCAAUUUGAGGGUAUCAGGUAAAGAAGCACCGGCUAACUCCGUGCCAGCAGCUGCGGUAAUACGGAGGGUGCAAGCGUUAAUCGGAUUUAUUGGGCGUAAAGGGCGCGUAGGCGGGGAAGUAAGUUAGGUGUGAAAGCCCGGGGCUCAACCCCGGAUCCGCAUUUAAAACUACUUCUCUAGAGGAUGGACGGAGAAAAGGGAAUUCCACGUGUAGCGGUGAAAUGCGUAGAUAUGUGGAAGAACACCGGUGGCGAAGGCGCUUUUCUAGUUCAUUCCUGACGCUGAGGCGCGAAAGCGAGGGGAGCAAACAGGAUUAGAUACCCCAGUAGUCCAAGCC